rnacentral:rRNA from 1 species
CCUACGGGUGGCAGCAGUGGGGGAUAUUGGACAAUGGGGGAAACCCUGAUCCAGCGACGCCGCGUGAGUGAAGAAGUAUUUCGGUAUGUAAAGCUCUUUCAGCAGGGAAGAAAGAAAUGACGGUACCUGACCAAGAAGCCCCGGCUAACUACGUGCCAGCAGCCGCGGUAAUACGGAGGGGGCAAGCGUUAUCCGGAAUUACUGGGUGUAAAGGGAGCGUAGACGGUGAUGCAAGUCUGGAGUGAAAGGCGGGGGCCCAACCCCCGGACUGCUCUGGAAACUGUGUAACUUGAGUGCAGGAGAGGUAAGCGGAAUUCCUAGUGUAGCGGUGAAAUGCGUAGAUAUUAGGAGGAACACCAGUGGCGAAGGCGGCUUACUGGACUGUAACUGACGUUGAGGCACGAAAGCGUGGGGAGCAAACAGGAUUAGAUACCCUAGUAGUC